rnacentral:tRNA from 1 species
GGGGUUGUGGCUCAGUGGUAGAGCUCUUGUCUAGCUCAUGCAAGCCUGGGUUCUAUCCUCAGCACCACG